rnacentral:lncRNA from 1 species
CAGAGAUAAGAAUAAUGUCAAGGUUUGCAGGUGCAACGCCAUACGAAUAACAGCACAAAAACAACAGCAGGAGAAAGCUUAAAAAUAAUGAAGCAGCUUUGGUGAAAGUUUACAGACCUGCAAGCAGAAGAAGACAGGCUACAGUACUGCAGAGAAAAGGACCUGAGCAAUACAAGGUGAAGCCAUUCUGCAACAGCUUGGUGUCUGCUCUUCUCUCUCCACUUCAGCUGUGUUCUCACAUGCUGCAGCACCUCUGCAAGAAACAGAACCUCAACUCCUGCCUUGAUGCCUUGCAGCGCUGUCACCACCGUUUGUGUCUCCAAAGUCACAUCUGUGCCCUCACUCAGUGUGCCUCUUCUGAAACCGCCAGGUACUACAUUGGGUUUUGGUAGUGUGGGACUGUAUUAGUGUCUUCUGUGAGGAGCUGCUGGAAGCUUCCCUCUUGUCUGAUGCCAGCCAGAUCCAGGACAGACCCACCAGAGGCCAAGGCUGAGCCCAGCACCAAUGGUGGAAGCACUUCUGAGGUAAAAGACAUAAGAAGGGGGAAAAACUUCUGGGCAACAGCAGUCGUAGGAGAAGAAUGAGACUAUAUCACAGGAGCAGUCCUGCAGACCCCAAGGUCAGCUCAAUAGGGGGGCCAGGAGGUGCUCCAGGCACCAGAGCUGAGAUUCCCCGGUAGCCCAUGGAGGUGCAGGGUGGAGCAGGGAUCCAUCCACCUGCAGCCCCUGGAGCAUCUCAUGCUGGAGCAAGUGGAAACUUAAAGGAGG